rnacentral:misc_RNA from 1 species
AAGUCGUAACAAGGUUUCCGUAGGUGAACCUGCAUUAACACGUAUCCAACGUUAAACCCCCUGUGAACCUUCAUUGUAUGAGUUACAUCCACGUCAGGUAAAUCAUCGCCGAACAGUUUUGAUUCAGAGACCUCUGGGAAGGGUGUACGGUAGUGCGAGGCAAUUGACCUGGCAUUCCUCUGCUUGUUAGUGUCUGAAAGUGUCACUAGCUAUGUACGGAUGGCGCAGUAACGAUCGCUGGAGGCCGACACGGCCGGCGACCAGGUCACUGGGCUACGGCCCCCCUGAUCACAACCUUUGCAUGAAAACGGGCCUGCGCUGAGGUGCGGCCACCCCUAAUGCUUGAACAACUGUUAACAAUGGAUAUCUUGGUUCUC